CCCGCACGCUCAUUGGAUAACGAUGUGUCAAUCUCGAGCUAUUAGCCAAUGAGCGUGCGGACUCA
ensembl:miRNA